AAGGAAGGGUGAAUGUGAGGAGAGGGGUUAAGAGGCUAUUGCAGUGACGGGGGUGAGAGAUGAUGGUGGCUGGGCCCCAGGUGGGGGCACUGAAAAGGAGAGAAAUGAGCACAUUCAAGAGCCCUUUAGGAAGGGAACCCUCAGUUCACCCUCCACACAGCAGCAAGAUUUGGAAGGCAAGUCAGAUAAAAACUGUCCUCAAUUUAAAUCCUUUCAAAGGCUUCCUGGUGCCCUUGGGAUGGAAUCUGGAAUCAUUUCCAACAAGACUGUCUCCGGGCCUCUCUCUGCUGUCUACAUUGCCAGCCCCUGGCUCUCUGUUUCCAUGUUUUUUGCGUGCUAGUUCCUCUGCCUGAAGCCCUCUUCCGACAACUUCCACACUGAGGGCUCCUCCUUGUUUUUUAAGCCUCAGCUUAAAUAUCCCCUCCUCCCAGCAAACUUCCUGGACCAUCCCAUCAAAUUUGUUACAGGGCAACCAACUCAUGACCAGAAAAAAAAGAAAAGCUAUUAAGAAAGAGGAAAAGUUGAAGACAGAAGCUGAAUAAAGAAAUCUUUCAAUGGAAGAUACCUGCAAUGAAACAACUCUUCCCUUCUUUUUAAAAACACUUCUAGAAAUGGGAAAAAAAUGAAGAAACAGAUCGAGGAGGUGUCAGACUCUAACACUCUCAAACCUGAAUAUGGAGUACAGUAUAAUGAAACAACAAAGUCCCCUUGCUAAGUCUUAUCAAACAUUUCUGAAAACAUCCAUUAGCCUCUUUUUCCUUUCAAUAUGUGACUGUUCUGCCAGAGUGUUGCUUUUUAGCUGGACAUUUUAAUUCAACAAUGAGAAAGAAAAUCCUCCUUUUACCAUCUUAACAGAAUCAAGACAUUAAUGGGAUCAAAUUGUCAUGGUCCAGAGGGAUUCCAAUAGCUGAUUUUCUAUCCUCAGCUGUGUAAGGGAAUUCACCAUGUCUAUUUGUUCAUGCAUAUUAUAAACAUUUUCAACGUCUUUUGUGAAAAUUUCAUUAUAACCAGCUAAGGGCAUUGGUUUUUCAAACCUCUGGAAGUGUUAAGAAGAGUUUGGGUAGACUGUCUUCUGAAUGAAGGAAUGAUUACUCUGAUUGUUCUUCCUAAGGAAUAUUUUAAGAUUAUGAAUGCAUUGUAUCAUGUGCAUUUAACUCAACUCUACUUUUUUACGAGCAUCUAGUGGGCUCUUAAAAACACAAUAAAAUUUGAGAUAAAGUUCCACAAAAACUCAGAUAAGAGAAAAUUACCUAUUUCUGAAUCCUCUUUGGAGAAUGUUUUAGAGAGUUUGAAAAAGGACAUUGAUGGAUUCCUGCAGAAUAAAGUUUAAGAAGUAAUAAUAUCUGAGCUGAGUGGAAAAAAAAACAAAAAGAUGCUGAAGUGUUUCUAGUGUAUUCUGCUGAUGCUUUAAGUUCUACACUGUAGUAAUUGGAAUGGGAUUUCAUUACGAGAAGUUUUUACCCAAUCACACCAACUGCAUCCUUGUAAGAGCGAUGGAGACUAAGCGUACCUGUGAUGACCAUUACCAUCAAGUCUCCAGGGAAACAACUCACAAAGUUAUCAAAGCUAUAAAAGUAUAGAGGAACAUGCUGCCAACAAGCCCAGCACUCCAAAAUGCUUGAAGCUUUGAAGCUUUAAAAUGAAAUAAACAAAUAAGUUACAGAAUUCCACCUAAACAAUCAUGAAGAAAAAGAGAUACUUUAUUUUGAAGAUUUUAAUACUACAAACAUUUCCCUUGAGAAAUAUUACUCAUAUUUCUUUUUUCUUCAAAGAAUAUACAGAUUUAGUAAGAUUGUCAAGUACAGUGCAGUUGAAAGUUUAGGUAAAGUUAAAGUUAGCCAUCA